GCCACUGUGGCUUAGCCUGGCAGAGCAAUUGACUUGUAAUCAAUGGGUCCGGGGUUCAAAGCUAUUGAAGUUUCGGCUUCUUUACGAACAAAUCCCCGCAGUGGCUCCA
rnacentral:tRNA from 1 species